rnacentral:lncRNA from 1 species
CAGAAGUCAGGUCGGAUUAAGCCAUAGUACGGAAAAAACUAUGCUACCUGUGAGCCCCGUCCAAGGACGUUAAAAGAAGUCAGGCCACUACAAGUGCCAUAGCUUGAGUAAACUAUGCAGCCUGUAGCUCCACCUGAGAAGGUGUAAAAAAUCUGGGAGGCCACAAACCAUGGAAGCUGUACGCAUGGCGUAGUGGACUAGCGGUUAGAGGAGACCCCUCCCUUACAAAUCGCAGCAACAAUGGGGGCCCAAGGUGAGAUGAAGCUGUAGUCUCACUGAAAGGACUAG